rnacentral:rRNA from 1 species
UACGUAGGGGGCAAGCGUUGUCCGGAUUUAUUGGGCGUAAAGAGCGUGUAGGCGGCCAUACAGGUCCGUUGUGAAAACUGGAGGCUUAACCUCCAGACGUCGAUGGAAACCGUAUGGCUAGAGUCCGGAAGAGGAGAGUGGAAUUCCUGGUGUAGCGGUGAAAUGCGUAGAUAUUGGGAGGAACACCGGUGGCGAAGGCGGCCCUCUGGACCGGUACUGACGCUGAUGCGCGAAAGCGUGGGGAGCAAACGGG